rnacentral:tRNA from 1 species
GCUCUGUGGCGCAGUGGUCGCGCGCUCCGACUGUGCGGUUUCCCUGUGAUUCUUCCCAAAAGGAAGUAUCACGGGGCCACAGGAGAGGACCUCGGUUCGAAUCCGAGCAGAAGCA